AGACUGCCGGUGACAAACCGGAGGAAGGUGGGGAUGACGUCAAGUCAUCAUGCCCCUUAUGUCCAGGGCUUCACGCAUGCUACAAUGGCCGGUACAAAGAGUUGCGAGCCUGUGAGGGUGAGCGAAUCUCGGAAAGCCGGUCUCAGUUCGGAUUGGGGUCUGCAACUCGACCCCAUGAAGUCGGAAUCGCUAGUAAUCGCGAAUCAGAAUGUCGCGGUGAAUACGUUCCCGGGCCUUGUACACACCGCCCGUCAAGCCAUGGAAGCUGG
rnacentral:rRNA from 14 species